rnacentral:lncRNA from 1 species
AUGAAGGAAAGCUCCCAGAACAAUGGAAUAUGCGCUGGGGGGGCUGAAAGCCUUGGUUCAUGCGUCUUCACGCCUUCAGUCAACUCCCGGUGUCCCUGCUCCUGCCCCGCGACUGCUGCCACCUUUGGUCUGCGUCACGGUUUUGGGCGCGGUUGUGGGAAAGGUCAGGGGUGUGAUGGUGGCUAUCCCGUCUCCGGGCUGACUGUGCAGGGUCUCUCGCCCACCUUGACCCAGGGGCGAGAGCGCCACCAACGCCGAGGUCGCAGAACCCUUGGGAGUCGCCUGUCUGCCCUGGUUUGGGGGGGUGGGAUCUGGGGAAGGAGAGACACCUGGCCUGACGUCGCUAGACUCCUCCCACCAGGGCGCGGCGCUGUGGUCAGCUGCAGACGGGGACCGGACCCUGCAGCCCGAAGGGCUGAGCUCACUCGCAGCCUCGGGAAGGGAUGCGCGCCAACGCGCAGCGGAAAGACGCUUGGCUAAAGCGCCUGAGAGCAUCGGGAGCGCGCCCUAGUCUGGCUCCAACCUUGAGGGAGAAUUGCGAGGACCGUUUCCUCCUUCCAGUCUUCUGUUUGUUUCUUCUGGACAGCUCAAGGCACCCCUGGGGACAAAACGUAACUCACAAAUUGUGUAAUUUCUGUAAUUGAUUCCACGGGAGUCACUAUGACGAUUGAAAUACUGUGAUAUUUGCAUUUAGAACUGCCCUUGCACAAUAGAAAGAUGAAUGGUAAAAUUCACACUAAUAAUUACAACUUAAAAUUGUAAUUCACUUUACAUUUUUAAAUGAUUAAAAAAUUGAAGUUAAAUUGUGGCAAAAUAGACAAGGUAAAAUUUACCAUCUUAAUUAACCAUUUUAAUUGUAUAGCUCAGGAGUGUCAGGUAUUUACAUUGCUAUGCAGCCAAUCUCCAGAACUUUUCCAUCUUGCAAAACUAAAGCUCUACCUGUCAAACAUCAACUCUCCAUUUCUUACCCUGGCAACCACCAUUCUACUCUCUGUUUCUAUGACUUUGACUGAAAUCAUGGAGCCUUUGUCUUUUUACAACUGGCUAUUUCACUUAGCAUAAUGUCUUCAAGUUUCAUCUAUGUUGUAGUGUGUGUCAGAAUGUCCUUCCUUGUUAAGAUCGAAUAAUAUUCCACUGUAUGCAUAUUUUAUUUAUCCAUUCAUCCUUCAAUGGGCAUAUGGAUUGCUUCCACUUUUUGGCUACUGUGAAUAAUACUGCUAUUAAACUAUGUAUAAAUAUCUUUCCAUUUUUUUGCUAAAAUAAGACUGCAAUGGAUACCUUUGUACACAUAGCACUUUGCAUACCUGUAAAUGUAUCUGUAGGGUAAAUUCCUGAAAGUAAAAUUGUCGGGUCAAAGGAAACGUGUAAAUAUUGCCAAAUUGCUGUCCAUAGAUGUUGAACCAUUUUACACAGCCUCACAAACACUGUAUGUUUUCAGACUUUUGAUCUUUGACAAUAUGAUAGAUUAAAAGUGGUAUUU